rnacentral:lncRNA from 1 species
GGCAUGCCCACAGUAUGUGGAAGUUCCCCGGCCAGGGAUUGAACCUGUGUUACAGCAGUGACCUGAGCUAUAGCAGUGACAAUGCUGGAUCCUUAACCACUAGGCCAUCAGGGAACUCUGACAAAUCUUAAUUGUAAUCUUCAAGUGCCCAGUCAGAGGGACAGGUAUAUCUAUGAUUCACUGUGUCUUUUUUUGUAUCCCACUUGCUUCUUUCCCUCUUAUAACAAAGUGUUAGGGGAGCCCAAAAGGAGAAGGAGUUUUUUUCUGUGGGGUCACCGCAAAAGAAAUUCCAAGAAAUCUUAGGUUGGAUUUGCCCAGAAACAGAUACUGAGAGUAGUAUUUGAACACGAGGUUUAUUUGGGAGGUGAUCUCAGAAAGCCAAAGAAGGUGCUAGCAGGUCACUUAUGGGCAACUGGGGACUCAGUCUCACUGAGGACCACUGGGAGAUGGUGAAGAACAUAUCUCAGUGUUGUUCUACUUGAGGAAGAAGGAAGAUUAGAUAUAUAUUUACCAAAUCCUGUUCAUCAUUGUUUGAGGGCUCUGCCCAGGGGUGUUCACUUUCCAUUGCUUCUGAGCUGUCCCACAUAUGGUCUGAGUCUGUUGCUGUGCAGCCGUUGAGAGAAGGCCUCAGGCAAAAACUUAUAAACUUGAGUGGUGCAUGGAUUCAUAAUUUGGCUGAGGCACACAUGGCAUCUGCUUCCCUGGAGGAGGUGGUAUUUAAAUUGAACCUUAGACGAUGUCGUGAUAUGGGGUAAGCAUUUUAGCGUACAAGAGUAGGAAGGACUGAGGCAGCAGUUGUGUGGUCCAUGGCAAAUAUAAUAAAGCACCAAAGUCUGAAAAUGAUUCACAUUUUUAAAAUUAGAGAAAAUUCAAGGUUAUCCCUAUAAAUAUUCAUUCUCACUCCCUUGCUUUGAGUGGGAGAGAACUUAGCUCCCAAGAGUUUGCUCAGAGGGAAUCGUGCCUCACCAGCAGCCUGUUUCCUCUCGUUAAUAUCUGGGUUGCUUUGACUUAUUACACUGUCUUACAAAUUUGUCUCUGCCAAAUUUGGGGGUUUGUCAAAAUCUAAACAUGGCUACGUGAGUUGUGUUAUUGCACAUAAGGGCACCAGUGUCCUUAUAUGUGUCACUUUGGGUAAAGGUUAAGAACUGUUGAUAAGAGGCUUGAAAAUGUAACAGAUGGAUUCAAGAAAAAAGCAAAUAAUCCAGUGGUAGGGACAUAGGUUGUAGUGUGUAGGGAUGGGAGCUGAAGAUGGAUGAGGAAGGAAAAGGAGAGUGGUAUAUGGCUGUGUAAUAACUGAUUAUUUCAAUCAGAAAUCUAUAUUGUACAUUAACAAUGAAUAGGAGAUCCUUAAACCCAGGAUCUCUAAAAUAAUGAGGAGGAGCCACACAUCACUGGGAUGAAGAUGGUGCACACGAACUUUCCUUUUACUUGCAUGUAUGAGUAAGGAGAAACAUCAAAUCAUAUCAUGUAUUUCACAAGAUGCAACCGCACCCUGCCAAUGAAACCCAUGUGAGGUUUCAUUUUAACCUUAGAAAAUAUUGAAAUUUUUGGCAGUGUAGGUUAUCAGUAGGUUGGGUACCUGCAUCGAAAUUUGCACUUGUUUGAAAAUGCUUCAUUCUGGAUAGACAGCUGUCAUCUCUGAUAAUCCACUCCUGUGAGCCCCAGAAGCUUUGGAAAGCUGACAGCAACACCGCAUGACUGCUGUUCUUAGCCUGAAUUUCCUAUGGGGCACAAGGUUGUCGACUGUGAAAGGUGAAGUUUAUUUAAAACAUCUUCAUUUCUGGUUUGCACAACUUGACAUAGUAUUCUAUGUUGUGUAAAUACAUGGAAUUCUGAGUAUAUGCAGUCCUUGUAUAGGAGCUAGACUUGGUCACCCAGCUUGUCACGGAAGUGGAAAUUACAUUCCUCUGAGGCAAGUUAAUGAAUCAGCGACAGUGCAUAGAAAUUCUGUUCAGAGAGGAAAACAAGAAGAUGGAUGAAUACUGUUACAAAUAUAAUAUCAAAGAUGAGGGAUAGUACUUAAUACCUUCUUCAAAGCUGCCUCUUCAGCUCUCAAAGUUCACCUUCUUCCGGGGUAAGGGGAAGUUUCAUAUCAUUCCCAUUCCAGUUGUCCAGCCCACACUUCAAGCCUUAUCGCUCUCUCACCUGGGGGCUCUGUGGCUGCUGGUUCAACAUCUAAACUCCCUAAGCCCAUUUUCUCAGCGCUGUUUCUUCAGGAAGGCGAAGGGCAAGUUUGCAGUGGGGCCAGCCACACUUCCCUUUGACGCUCUGUACUUCCGCUCCUACUAUCCUUCCGCACAAGGCAGCAAGGGUGGGAUAAAUUUUACUGAAGGAAUAGGGAGGGGGGAUGGAUUUAAGAUGGGGACAGCUUAAAAUUCAGGGCUAUUCCAUGACUUUUUCCACUAGCAUGAUAACCUCUAGAUCCAUCCUUAUUGCUGCAAAUGGGAUUAGUUCAUCCUUUUUAUGGUUGAGUAAUAUUUCAUUGUAUAUAUGUAUCACAUCUUCUUAAUCUAUUCAUCUAUCAAUGGACAUUUAAGUUGCUUCCAUGUUCUAGCUAUUGUACAUAGUGCUAUGAUGAACAUAGGGGUGUAUGUAUCUUUUCAAAUUAUGUUUUUCUCUGGAUAUAUGCCCAGGAGUUGGAUUGCUGGAUCAUAUGUAGUCCUAUGUUUAGUUUUUUAACCUCUGAACUUUAAAUAAUCAUUGGAAAUUGAUUUCCAUUGUGGGAACUGAUUAUAGACUUCUAAACUCCCCCAACUGUUUUCCUAUGUUUCCAGGUACAAACUCACCUGUGGCCCUUAUCUCACUACUUAGACUUAUCUCUUCAUUGGCCCAAGACCAUACCCCAUUGGUUUUUGUUCCUCUAGAGCCUCGUAUUGAGAAAGGCACAUAAAUAGUAAUAAAUGCUUUUUGAAUGGACUUCUGUUCCAGCUGCUAUCCACCCUCUGAAAGAGUCCCAUUUAACAAAUUCUAGAGAGAUUCUCAUUUUGAAAAGCUUCUGGAAAACUAUUCCAAUAUGUACUCCUGGGGAGAAAGUGGAUAGAAAGAAGAGGAUCAACAUUUAGAGAAUAUUAACUCUGUAUCUGGUACCAAGCCUCAUAAAUACACUUUGCCUCAUUUAUUCCUUAACACAGUCAUUACUAAUGAGGAAAUUGAGGCACAUAAAGUUAAGAAUUUGGAGUUCCCGUCGUGGCGCAGCAGAAACGAAUCCGACUGGGAACCAUAAGGUUGCAGGUUCGAUCCCUGGCCUUGCUCAGUGGGUUAAGGAUCCGGUGUUGCCGUGAGCUGUGGAGUAGGCCAGCAGCUGUAGCUCCGAUUAGACCCCUAGCUUGGGAACCUCCAUAUGCCACGAGUGCGGCCCUGAAAAGACAAG